rnacentral:rRNA from 1 species
GACGAACGCUGGCGGCAUGCCUAACACAUGCAAGUCGAACGAACCGUUCGGGAUUUUUGGCGGACGGCUUAAUAACACGUGGGGAGAGUCACUUAGGUUCGGCAUAACUCAAGGACACGUAUGCUAAUGCCAAAUGUGCGCUUAGGGGGGAAGAUUUAUUGCAUUUAGAGGGGCAGGCGUCUGAUUAGCUAGUUCGUUCAGGUAAUGGCGCACCAAGGCGGCGUUCAGUAGUUGGUCUGGGAGGAUGAUCAGCCACAUUGGGACUGAGACACAGCCCAAAAUCCUACGCGAGGCAGCAGUGGGGAAUCUUGCGAAAUGGGGGAAAGCCUGACGGAGCCAUGACGGGUGAAUGAUGAAGGUCGUAGGAUAGUAAUAUGCUUUCACCGGUGACGAUAAUGACGGUACCCGGUGAAGAAGCCCCGGCUAACUACGUG